rnacentral:rRNA from 1 species
AUUGAACGCUGGCGGCAUGCCUUACACAUGCAAGUCGAACGGCAGCGGGGGAGAAGCUUGCUUUUCCUGCCGGCGAGUGGCGAACGGGUGAGUAAUACAUCGGAACGUGCCCUGUAGUGGGGGAUAACUAGUCGAAAGAUUAGCUAAUACCGCAUACGACCUGAGGGUGAAAGUGGGGGACCGCAAGGCCUCAUGCUAUAGGAGCGGCCGAUGUCUGAUGAGCUAGUUGGUGGGGUAAAGGCCUACCAAGGCGACGAUCAGUAGCUGGUCUGAGAGGACGAUCAGCCACACUGGGACUGAGACACGGCCCAGACUCCUACGGGAGGCAGCAGUGGGGAAUUUUGGACAAUGGCGAAAGCCUGAUCCAGCAAUGCCGCGUGUGUGAAGAAGGCCUUCGGGUUGUAAGGCACUUUUGUCCGGAAAGAAAUGGCUCUGGUUAAUACCUGGGGUCGAUGACGGUACCGGAAGAAUAAGGACCGGCUAACUACGUGCCAGCCGCCGCAGUAA